GACGAACGCUGGCGGCGUGCUUAACACAUGCAAGUCGAACGGAAAGGCCCUGCUUUUGUGGGGUGCUCGAGUGGCGAACGGGUGAGUAACACGUGAGUAACCUGCCCUUGACUUUGGGAUAACUUCAGGAAACUGGGGCUAAUACCGGAUAGGAGCUCCUGCUGCAUGGUGGGGGUUGGAAAGUUUCGGCGGUUGGGGAUGGACUCGCGGCUUAUCAGCUUGUUGGUGGGGUAGUGGCUUACCAAGGCUUUGACGGGUAGCCGGCCUGAGAGGAUGACCGGCCACAUUGGGACUGAGAUACGGCCCAGAAUCCUACGGGAGGCAGCAGUGGGGAAUAUUGCACAAUGGGCGGAAGCCUGAUGCAGCAACGCCGCGUGCGGGAUGACGGCCUUCGGGUUGUAAACCGCUUUCGCCUGUGACGAAGCGUGAGUGACGGUAAUGGGUAAAGAAGCACCGGCUAACUACGUG
rnacentral:rRNA from 1 species